rnacentral:rRNA from 1 species
GAUGAACGCUGGCGGCGUGCCUAAUACAUGCAAGUCGAGCGAACAGACGAGGAGCUUGCUCCUCUGACGUUAGCGGCGGACGGGUGAGUAACACGUGGAUAACCUACCUAUAAGACUGGGAUAACUUCGGGAAACCGGAGCUAAUACCGGAUAAUAUAUUGAACCGCAUGGUUCAAUAGUGAAAGACGGUUUUGCUGUCACUUAUAGAUGGAUCCGCGCCGCAUUAGCUAGUUGGUAAGGUAACGGCUUACCAAGGCAACGAUGCGUAGCCGACCUGAGAGGGUGAUCGGCCGCACUAGAACUGAGACACGGUCCAGACUCCUACGGGAGGCAGCAGUAGGGAAUCUUCCGCAAUGGGCGAAAGCCUGACGGAGCAACGCCGCGUGAGUGAUGAAGGUCUUCGGAUCGUAAAACUCUGUUAUUAGGGAAGAACAAAUGUGUAAGUAACUAUGCACGUCUUGACGGUACCUAAUCAGAAAGCCACGGCUAACUACGUG